CGCGUGAGUGAAGAAGGCCUUCGGUUGUAAAGCUCUUUCAGACGGAAAGAAAUCGCAUCCUCUAAUACGGGGUGUGGAUGACGGUACCGUAAGAAGAAGCACCGGCUAACUACGUGCCAGCAGCCGCGGUAAUACGUAGGGUGCGAGCGUUAAUCGGAAUUACUGGGCGUAAAGCGUGCGCAGGCGGUGAUGUAAGACAGAUGUGAAAUCCCCGGGCUCAACCUGGGAACUGCGUUUGUGACUGCAUCACUCGAGUACGGCAGAGGGAGGUGGAAUUCCACGUGUAGCAGUGAAAUGCGUAGAGAUGUGGAGGAACACCGAUGGCGAAGGCAGCCUCCUGGGCCAGUACUGACGCUCAUGCACGAAAGCGUGGGGAGCAAACAGGAUUAGAUACCCUGGUAGUCCACGCCCUAAACGAUGUCAACUAGUUGUUCGGUGAGGAGACUCAUUGAGUAACGCAGCUAACGCGUGAAGUUGACCGCCUGGGGA
rnacentral:rRNA from 1 species